UAUGACCCUGGCGGCAGUGCCUAAGACAUGCAAGUCGAGCGGAUGAAGGGAGCUUGCUCCUGGAUUCAGCGGCGGACGGGUGAGUAAUGCCUAGGAAUCUGCCUGGUAGUGGGGGAUAACGUCCGGAAACGGGCGCUAAUACCGCAUACGUCCUGAGGGAGAAAGUGGGGGAUCUUCGGACCUCACGCUAUCAGAUGAGCCUAGGUCGGAUUAGCUAGUUGGUGGGGUAAAGGCCUACCAAGGCGACGAUCCGUAACUGGUCUGAGAGGAUGAUCAGUCACACUGGAACUGAGACACGGUCCAGACUCCUACGGGAGGCAGCAGUGGGGAAUAUUGGACAAUGGGCGAAAGCCUGAUCCAGCCAUGCCGCGUGUGUGAAGAAGGUCUUCGGAUUGUAAAGCACUUUAAGUUGGGAGGAAGGGCAGUAAGUUAAUACCUUGCUGUUUUGACGUUACCAACAGAAUAGCACCGGCUAACUUCUGCCACAGCCGCGGUAAUACCAAGGUGCAAGCGUUAAUCGAAUUACUGGCCUAAG
rnacentral:rRNA from 1 species